UCUCUGUUAGUAUAUCGGUUAGUACACGCGCCUGUCAUUGAGGUGGCCGCGCGAAAGCGGGGUUCGACUCCCCGACAGAGAG
rnacentral:tRNA from 2 species